CUGGGGCCGAGAGGGGGCUGUGGGGGUCCCUUGGGGGCGAGUGGGGGCUUGGGUCCUUCCCCACGAGCCAGGGGCUCUCCUCGUCCUCUGCGGGGAGCUGGGGGGGGGGUCUGGGAGGGUUGUGCUUGAUCCUAUCCAUGGCAUCCCAGGUGGGCAUCACUCUCCCAGACUAUAGGGUCCAAGGUGGGCAUCGUUAUCCCAGACAAUGGGGUCCAAGGUGGGCAUCGUCACCCAUCAGCAGGACCCCAGGUGGGCCCCGUUACCCCACCGCAGGUUAUAUGGCCGGGAGAGGGGCCCUGUCCUGGCUCUGCUCCUGGAUGUUGGGGGGUCUUGCUGAUAAUUUGUCCUUCAUCGUGCAUCCUCCAGCCCUGCGGGCAUGGCUUCAGGGGAUCUUUGCCCCAUGGCAGAGGCUCGUCCGCUGUGAGCGUGCACCGGAGGGCAUCUCGGUGGAUGCGCCGAGGAAGGUGAUGGAUGGAGCUGUUUUCCCUGCUAGAGGCUUGUUUUGCUGCUGCAAAAGCUCUGCGUUAUUUUACCCGGGGUGAGUAAAACCACAGAGCUUUCCUGCAGCAAAAUCCUCCGGCGAGGCUCUGCAGCUGCGCUGCGCUCAGCUCCUCCAGCCCCGGGAGGGUGCCCGUGGCCUGUCUCGGGGAAUUAUCUCCCGGUGCCAUUGAAGUGACUCAUCCCUGCUCUGUUUUCGCCCCCAGACAGCUCGCAGGCACUGCUGAGCCUUUUUUUCUGCUUUUUAAGCUCGAGCCUCAGCUCGAGCCUUUGAAACGGCAGCGCCGUCCCUGAGCUGGGACCGCAGGUAAAAAUAACGCCGGGGAGAGGAAAGGGGACUUUCCAUUUUUAGUUCGGCUUCUGAAAGUUCUGCUUUUUGCUACGUCCUCAGAGCGCCGCAGGGGAGGACGGUUCCCGUUGUUCCCCCUCUCCCCGGGCCCUCGGUUUCAGCAAGGUGGAGGCCGCGGGGAGCAGCGCGCGGCUCGCUGCCUGAGCGAGAGCGAGCAAGCGGCUUUGCCAGAUGGGCAGCGUGUCGUUUUGCAGCCCGCGUUAAAUAAUUUCUACUCGGUAAUCUGUUAACAAACGAGAGCUCCGUGCCGUAUGUAACGUGAUGCUGGGGGUGUCGCGUCCGGGGCCACCUGGGCACCGCGCUGCUGAGCACCGCUCGCGCGCUGCGGUGAGGAACCUGCCCCGCUGCUGCUGUUCCUCCUGAAUUGAGCAAAUCCACUUUUUUUUUUUUUUGCCAGCAUUUGUGCAUCAGCACGGCGGUAGGGAAAAUUUACCCUCAAAAUUUGUCAUGAUUGUGGUUUUACAGCCUGAGAUUUCCUCUUUUUUCCCAUGCUUUUAUCAGAGUAAAUGCACCCACUGAUGCUCUUAAUGCUCUUGGAACUGCUCAGUGGGUAUUUGUUUGCUGGGAAAGGACCCAGUCCACGCUUUUAAUCCUGCUGAGCUCCUAGCUUUGGUGCUAUACAGCAACAAGGAGUUCCCCAGGUUAGCACCGAGCUGUGCCUGGGGGCUGGGGGGGAACCAAAGUGAAAUAUUUGC
rnacentral:lncRNA from 1 species